GCCAAUCCACGCGGGGACGGAGGACGGAAGAGCCCCGCCCCCGCCACCUGGGCCGUCGCCUCCCGGGCGGCUUCACCCGCGGCCCCGCCUCGGCGGCCAUCUCAGUGCUGACUGGCUGGAAGCCACACGAUUCUAUUUCAAUUGGCUGCCGUUCGGUCCUUUGCGCGAAGGGGGAGGGCGGUAAUGGAGGGCCUCCUGCACCGGGCCUCGGAGAGGUCGGGGAGCAGCUUCUGGAGGUCGGAGUCCGCCAAAGAUAGCCCAGCGUCAGCCGCUGAGAGCCCGGCUCCUGCUCUGCCGUGCUGAGGGGAGGCUGCCGCGGAGAUCCCUAUAUCCCACCCCCUUCGGGGGACCCCGCCCCCGCUUCGUGCCCGUAUCCCGUCUUCCGGAUGGCCCUUGGGAUCCGCAGCCUUCCUGAGGCGCGAGAGUCGGCCAAGGCCUAGAAGAGCCCUCAGAGGGCCGCCCUCGCACCCUGUCUGACAGCCGCUAACCGCCUCGCGCAGGCUGCAUCUCUUCCUGUCCGACCUUCGUCCCCCGACCCCCAUCCUCAAAGGGAGUGAGCCCCAGAUCUGGGGGCCCAGACUAGCCCUCAACACACAUGGGGGGACCUGACAAAAAUGCAGAAAGAAGAGCAGCGAGACCCCUGGGAGAGGCGGCCCAGGAGACCCCCUCAAAACAGACAAUCCCAGCCUUCUGCUGAUACUGAUAUUCAGUCCAUCUUGGAAGCCCCCCUCUGCAGCCGUACCAUGAAGAGAAUGACGCAGGGCCUGCUCCUCACACUGGCAGGCCUGCCUGCCUUGGAAGCCAAUGACUUGGUUGAUAAAGACAGUCCCUUCUACUAUGACUGGGAAAGCCUGCAGCUGGGCGGGAUGAUUUUUGGAGGGCUCCUGUGCAUCGCUGGAAUCUUGAUAGCCCUGAGUGGAAAAUGCAAAUGCAAAUACAAUCAGAAGCACAGGUGAGAUGGGGUAAGGGUGGGGAGCCCGGAAAUUGUAUGCCCCUGGAGCUGAGCACACCUAUGUGGGGUAAAGUCCGGCAAUUUAGCUAAAGAGGACAGCCUCUUGGCUACUCCCUGGGCUUGCAGUGGGAUUUGUUAUUCACAGAUAAUCAACCCUGAAGUGCCCCACAUCAGGGAAAGCUAGAACCCUUAGUAUUGUUUAAGGUGACAAUGGAAGAAUAGCAACCCCUUACCUGAGAAAGCCACUCCACUCAUCACUCCAGGCUCUGCCAGUACCUGCUGAGCACAGGCACUCCUGGUACCAUCUCCCAUGCUGUUCCCUCCCUACUUGGCGGCCUUAGCCUCCAUAAUGGCCUUUCACUCCAAGAAAGGCUCCCUUCUGAUCAGGAGGCUGUCCAAAGCUUAUUUCUCUAUUAAACUGUCUCAUCUCCCCCC